AUUGAACGCUGGCGGCAGGCCUAACACAUGCAAGUCGAACGCUUGGCGGACGGGUGAGUAAUGUCUGGGAAACUGCCUGAUGGAGGGGGAUAACUACUGGACACGGUAGCUAAUACCGCAUACCAUCAGAUGUGCCCAGAUGGGGUUCGCUUGUUGGUGGUGUAACGGCGCACCAAGGCGCCACUCCCUAGCUGGUCUGAGAGGAUGACCAGCCACACUGGAACGGAGACACGGUCCAGACUCCUACGGUAGGCAGCAGUGGGGAAUAUUGCACAGUGGGCGCAAGCCUGAUGCAGCCAUGCCGCGUGUAUGAAGAAGGCCUGCGGGUUGGAAAGUACUUUCAGCGGGGAGGCUUUACCCGCAGAAGAAGCACCGGCUAACUCCGUGCCAGCAGCCGCGGUAAUUC
rnacentral:rRNA from 1 species